rnacentral:lncRNA from 14 species
AUCCCUGUGAGAUCGGGGACAAGGACACCCCAAAACCCCCCAGGACACGGGGUGACCCCAAAACCCCCCUGAGAUCGGGGACAGGGACACCCCAAACCCCUUGGGAUGGGUGAGGUGACCCCAAAACCCCUCCGAGCUCUGAGAUUGGAGACAGCGACACCCCAAAACCCCCCUGAUACAGUGGAGAGACCCCAAAACCCCCUUGAGACAGUGGAGAGACCCCAAAACCCCUCCGAGCUCUGAGACUGGAGACAAGAGCACCCCAAAAGCCCCGGGACAGUGGGGUGACCCCAAAACCCCUUGGAGGUCUGAGACAGGGGACAGGGACACCCCAAAACCCCCCUGAGACAGUGGGGUGACCCCAAAAGCCCCGGGACAGUGGGGUGACCCCAAAACCCCUUGGAGGUCUGAGACAGGGGACAAGAGCACCCCAAAACCGCCUGAGAUUGGGGACAAGGACACCCCAAAACCCCCUGAGACACGGGGUGACCCCAAAACCCCCCUGAGAUCGGGGACAGGGACACCCCAAAACCCCCUGAGACACGGGGUGACCCCAAAACCCCCUGAGACAGUGGAGAGACCCCAAAGCCCCCUGAGAUCGGGGACAAGAGCACCCCGAAGCCCCGGGGACAGUGGGGUGACCCCAAAAACCGUCUGAGAUUGGUGACAAGGACACCCCAAAACCCUCCAGGACACGGAGUGACCCCAAACACCCCUGAGAUCGAGGACAAGGACACCCCAAAACCCCCGGGAUGGGUGAGGUGACCCCAAAACCCUCCAGGACAGUGGGGAGACCCCAAAACCCCCUGAGAUCGGGGACAAGGACACCCCAAAAUCCCCGGAACAGUGGGGUGACCCCAAACCCCCCUGAGAUCGGGGACAGGGACACCCCAAACCCCCGGCGACACGGGGUGACCCCAAAACCCUCCAGGACAGUGGGGUGACCCCAAACCCCCCUGAGAUCGGGGACAGGGACACCCCAAACCCCUUGGGAUGGGUGAGGUGACCCCAAACCUCAACAGGGACAAGGAACCCCAGCCCACGGGGAGGAGGAGAGGAGGAGGAGGGACAGCCCGCGCCGGGCCCAG